CCCCCGCCAGUGGCAGCCUCUGGGUGAGGGCCGCUGGGUCUGGUUUUGUUCUGUCACUCAUCUGGGCAAGCAUCUCUAGGGGAUAGAGAAGACCCCCUGGCAAGUAUCUGUAGGGGGCCAGGAAAAAACCCCCACCCAGGCCAGCUCUGGGAAACAAGAAGAGCGCCCCCUGGACCUAACACCCCCUACUCCGGAUCUUCCCACUCAGGUCUCAGUCUUGGAGCCAGACUUUAUUGUGAUUUCUUCCCUUCUAUCACUAUGCAAGGACAAGUUGUAAUUUUUUUUUCUUGUUAUGAUGGAAAAAAUAAAUGGACAAUAAGCUGAUGGUGAUUUGGAAGUAGUUAUAGGAGAAAAAUGGAAAACAACUUUGGAAAAAUUACAUGUACAGAUGCCCUUAAUGAAGUGAUGUGAUCUUCCAUGGAGAGAAUGUCAGGUAGAAACAUUAAGGAAGAUCAUAAAAUGUCAUAGGUAAAGGUAUCCAUAUAGAGAAGAGGAAGAAGGCAAGGGGCACCGGGGAGAAAAUUUCAGGAGGGUAAAUAGACUCUUAGGCCAAUGACAAAAAGGAAAAAAAAAAUUCAAAGAAGGGUAAAAUCAACUCAAAUGUUUGGCAUGUUAAAGAUUGGAUCAACAAAAGACCAGAAGACUUGUGUGAAUAAAAGAUAUACGUUAUUCAUGGAACAGAGGUCAGAGCAAGAAUUCAAUGGGUGUGAGUUAUGGAAGGUUGGGGGAUUAUAGACAGUCAUAGAAGAAGUACCACCAACUUUUUUCUGGAAUAAGAAAGAUAAAGAAAAAGAAUGCUAUCCUGAGAGGACAUGAAGAUGAGUUAAACAAGUCCUGGAGACAUCAAAACAAGAACUGGCAUUAAGAAUGCAAAGGCUCAACUCUGAUGAUCUCUACUUUGCCAGAUACCAUCCUGCCUGUCCCAAAUUCCCACUGUUGAUUUCAGCUGGGGAAGGUAUACUAUUCAAAUAAAUACUGGAAUUUGCUCUUGAGGUGAAUUGUGGACACUGUGUAUGCCAUUCAUCCAAAGUACUGCUUCAUGUCUAGGGUGCAAACCUAAUGCAGUCACUUGAUAAUGUGAAAUAAUACAGGCUUUUUUUUUGUUUUGUUUUGUUUUGUUUUUGUUUUUGUUUU